CGCGGCCUAUCAGCUUGUUGGUGGGGUGAUGGCCCACCAAGGCGGUGACGGGUAGCCGGCCUGAGAGGGUGGGCGGCCACACUGGGACUGAGACACGGCCCAGACUCCUGCGGGAGGCAGCAGUGGGGGGUAUUGCACAAUGGGCGGAAGCCUGAUGCAGCGACGUCGCGUGAGGGAUGGAGGCCUUCGGGUUGUGAACCUCUUUCUCCGGUGGUGAAGGCCCUGUCCGUUGCGGCGGGGUUGACGGUAGCCGGGUAUGAAGCGCCGGCUAACUACGUGCCAGCAGCCGCGGUAAUACGUAGGGCGCGAGCGUUGUCCGGAAUUAUUGGGCGUGAAGGGCUUGUAGGCGGCCGGUCGCGUCCGCCGUGAAAUUCUCCGGCUCAACCGGGGGCUUGCGGUGGGUACGGGCCGGCUGGAGUGCGGUAGGGGAGGCUGGAACUCCUGGUGUAGCGGUGGAAUGCGCAGAUAUCGGGAGGAACACCGGUGGCGAAGGCGGGUCUCUGGGCCGUUACUGACGCUGAGGAGCGAAAGCGUGGGGAGCGAACAGGAUUAGAUACCCUGGUAGUCCACGCCGUAAACGUUGGGCACUAGGUGUGGGGCCCCGCUCGGCGGGGGUCCGCGCCGCAGCUAACGCAUUAAGUGCCCCGCCUGGGAGUACGG
rnacentral:rRNA from 1 species